GACUCGGUAGCUCAGCCGGUAGAGCAGCAGCCUUUUAAGCUGACGGUCCUGGGUUCAAUCCCCAGCCGAGUCA
rnacentral:tRNA from 4 species